CCUACGGGGGGCUGCAGUGGGGAAUAUUGCACAAUGGGCGCAAGCCUGAUGCAGCCAUGCCGCGUGUGUGAAGAAGGCCUUCGGGUUGUAAAGCACUUUCAGCGGGGAGGAAGGCGGUGAGGUUAAUAACCUCAUCGAUUGACGUUACCCGCAGAAGAAGCACCGGCUAACUCCGUGCCAGCAGCCGCGGUAAUACGGAGGGUGCAAGCGUUAAUCGGAAUUACUGGGCGUAAAGCGCACGCAGGCGGUCUGUCAAGUCGGAUGUGAAAUCCCCGGGCUCAACCUGGGAACUGCAUUCGAAACUGGCAGGCUAGAGUCUUGGAGAGGGGAGCGGAAUUCCACGUGGAGCGGUGAAAUGCGUAGAGAUGUGGAGGAACACCAGUGGCGAAGGCGGCUCUCUGGCCUGUAACUGACGCUGAGGCGCGAAAGCGUGGGGAGCGAACAGGAUUAGAUACCCUAGUAGUC
rnacentral:rRNA from 1 species